rnacentral:misc_RNA from 1 species
AGCAGGUAGCUUACCUUCGGGAGGGCGCUUGCCACGGUGUGGCCGAUGACUGGGGUGAAGUCGUAACAAGGUAGCCGUAUCGGAAGGUGCGGCUGGAUCACCUCCUUUUGAGCAUGACGUUAUUCGUCCUGUCGGGCGUCCUCACAAAUUACCUGCAUUCAGAGAUUCAUACCGGCACAGGUCGGUAUGCGAAGUCCCUUUUGGGGCCUUAGCUCAGCUGGGAGAGCACCUGCUUUGCAAGCAGGGGGUCGUCGGUUCGAUCCCGACAGGCUCCACCAUAUUGAGUGAAAAGACUUCGGGUCUGUAGCUCAGGUGGUUAGAGCGCACCCCUGAUAAGGGUGAGGUCGGUAGUUCGAGUCUACCCAGACCCACCACUCUGAAUGUAGUGCACACUUAAGAAUUUAUAUGGAUCAGCGUUGAGGCUGAGACAUGUUCUUUUAUAACUUGUGACGUAGCGAGCGUUUGAGAUAUCUAUCUAAACGUGUCGUUGAGGCUAAGGCGGGGACUUCGAGUCCCUAAAUAAUUGAGUCGUAUGUUCGCGUUGGUGGCUUUGUACCCCACACAACACGG